rnacentral:rRNA from 1 species
CGUGCAGGCGGUCUUGUAAGUCGUGUGUGAAAGCGCUCAGGCUCAACCGGGCGAGGACAUGCGAAACUGCGGGGCUUGAGGUAGGUAGAGGCGUGUGGAAUUCCGGGUGUAGUGGUGAAAUGCGUAGAGAUCCGGAGGAACACCAGUGGCGAAGGCGACACGCUGGACCUGACCUGACGCUAAGACGCGAAAGCAUGGGGAGCGAACG